GACGAACGCUGGCGGCGUGCUUAACACAUGCAGGUCGAACGGAAAGGCCCUGCUUUUGUGGGGUGCUCGAGUGGCGAACGGGUGAGUAACACGUGAGUAACCUGCCCUUAACUUUGGGAUAACUUCAGGAAACUGGGGCUAAUACCGGAUAGGAGCUCCUGCUGCAUGGUGGGGGUUGGAAAGUUUCGGCGGUUGGGGAUGGACUCGCGGCUUAUCAGCUUGUUGGUGGGGUAGUGGCUUACCAAGGCUUUGACGGGUAGCCGGCCUGAGAGGGUGACCGGCCACAUUGGGACUGAGAUACGGCCCAGACUCCUACGGGAGGCAGCAGUGGGGAAUAUUGCACAAUGGGCGGAAGCCUGAUGCAGCAACGCCGCGUGCGGGAUGACGGCCUUCGGGUUGUAAACCGCUUUCGCCUGUGACGAAGCGUGAGUGACGGUAAUGGGUAAAGAAGCACCGGCUAACUACGUG
rnacentral:rRNA from 1 species